AAUAUAUACGCAUAUAUUUAUUGUGCUUGGAAACAUGCAAGCGUUAAAAAAUAUGUUUCUUGUAUGUGGAACAUGCAAGCAAUAAGAAAUAUGAUUGUUGUAUGUGACGGUGAUUGUGCAGUGGUAAUGUGUUCAGGCGGCAAAUCCAGUUGUGUUUUUCACUGGGCACUUGUUGCAUAUGUGAGUGAAUAUGUCCCAAGUAUGCCGAAAUGCAAUCGCGAACGGACAGAUAAGUUUUAUGUUGUGAAUUAAUGCACUUUAUUUCUUGUAUGAGCUGACCGGCGCGGUACCAGCCGUAUACAAAGGGGCCCUUGGAUCAGGGACGGAAAGCGGGAUGCGGAUUCCGUUUUGGGGGUCGGCGGCCAGACCGACAGAGAGACCAAAAAUGGCGUGAGUAUUGAGCCGAAAGUAAAUUUAUACAUAGCUGUGGUUCUCCUUAUAGGACUCCAACGCCAGGAACAAGCUGGGGCGACCGGAUGAAUUGCACAGAACGAGGGAUAUUGUCGGAGGUGCAAUCUUGGAGAGAUCUGGCUCGAAGGACCAUGUAAAAAGGCGCAGGGCGUCAGGGCUGAGAGGUCAAAAGUCCACUGGCAAAUAAAAUGGCGGCUUUUCAAUUUUCACUGUGCUCUUCCGCACAUAUGUAUUAUUCCCUUGUCACAAUUUUCAGACUGACCUUAACCUAGUUGCCAGCCGGCCAGGAAUGUUGCCAGCAGAGCGCUGCCACACCAACACCUACGAAAUUGACUCAAAACAUAAAAACACAUAUUCUUUAAUACAAAUACACAUCACAAUACCAAUACGCGAGCUAUUAGUUAAAAUCCCAAAUACACAUACCCCUGCAACGCUUAAUUGCAUCAACGGUCAGCAUAACAAGAAAAAACUCAAGUACACUGUCCAUCAUGGCAUCGCAGCGAAGCCACAAAAAUGGGAGAUGAUGAGCAACGCAUUCUUACCGUGCUGCUGGAGCGUCUGGAUAUUAUGGCUGGUGAGAUGAAGUAGCUGCACGAGAGGGUAAACUCUUUGGAGCGUGAGGUCGGGGAGCUGUUGGUAUUACGGGAGCGGGUCGGUGGGCUGGAGACGAAACUUGCUUCUCAACUCAAUGCAAACAUCGUAUGUGACCUGCGAGUGCAUGGAGUCCCCCACGCUAAGGGUGAAAAUGCACGAGCACUGUACAGCGCCCGCUGUUUCGCCAUCCAAGCUACACCACCGCCGAGGAUACGGGAAAUUUUCCGCACGAGGAAAUCGCAAGUAUCUACGGUCGAUCCCGGCAUAAUAAUUAGAUUCUACAAUGUUUAUGAAAAAACACGUUGCUGAGGGCAGUCGCAGCUUAUCGUCGAACAGAUAAAAAACCACUAACCUUACAAAUGCUGGCCUUUGACUCCCUACCCCCAUAUAUGUAAAUGAGCAGCUUUCAAGGGAGAAUUAUAGGGACAUUUUGGAAAUCUCCUUACAAAAAAAUAUUGCCCCGUCUUUUGUUGCCCGAACGAAAGGCAGUGCAACAGUACGAAAGAUACGAUUUGAUGCUCGUGCACUGUGUUCGUCAUCAAGUAACAAUAACAAAUAUAUAUGGCAAGUCUCGCUACUUUGUUCGCUCGUCUAAUUACACCAACAAAUAUUAGGCAAAUGACGGUACUUUUUUAGCUACUUUUAUAUUUUGCGUUUCCCCUGCCUCAGAUUGCUUUGUCUUGUUCUGACAUUUAGUUUGCCUCAAAGUGUUGCAUGUGACGCGUGUGUUACUUGCGUAGUCAAAAACAAAUAGCGUUUUGAUAGGUACAACAUAUAAAAAGAAUUGCAUAUAAAUUUAUUGUGAAGGCUCUACAGAAGACGAGUUGCGCAGAGUUCUGCAGCUGUCCAAGAAGAGGUCGUACAGAAGACAGGAGAAAAAUAUUAAAAAUAAAGAGUUGAUAUAAAUGUUAAUAUUUGUACACCUUAAUUUAAUGUAUUAAGUAAUUAUUAUGUAUCCAAUAAACAUAAUUCGGACGAAUUAA